GACGAACGCUGGCGGCGUGCUUAACACAUGCAAGUCGAACGGAAAGGCCCUGCUUUUGUGGGGUGCUCGAGUGGCGAACGGGUGAGUAACACGUGAGUAACCUGCCCUUGACUUUGGGAUAACUUCAGGAAACUGGGGCUAAUACCGGAUAGGAGCUCCUGCUGCAUGGUGGGGGUUGGCACGUUUCGGCGGUUGGGGAUGGACUCGCGGCUUAUCAGCUUGUUGGUGGGGUAGUGGCUUACCAAGGCUUUGACGGGUAGCCGGCCUGAGAGGGUGACCGGCCACAUUGGGACUGAGAUACGGCCCAGACUCCUACGGGAGGCAGCAGUGGGGAAUAUUGCACAAUGGGCGGAAGCCUGAUGCAGCAACGCCGCGUGCGGGAGGACGGCCUUCGGGUUGUAAACCGCUUUCGCCUGUGACGAAGCGUGAGUGACGGUAAUGGGUAAAGAAGCACCGGCUAACUACGUG
rnacentral:rRNA from 1 species